CGACCGGGUGGUGCUCGGCAUGGGCGCCGGCGGUCUGUGGGACCGCAUCUCGGCGAUGGGCGUGCCACGGCUGUCCAACGCGGCGGCGGUCGAC
rnacentral:tRNA from 1 species